UCUGUCAGAGCCUCUGGGUGUUUCCGUCGCCAUACAUUACAAACCUCCGUCUGUUCCAAGCAGACAGGAAGGAGGGGCGUCUGAGGGGCCCCCGGCCGGCCAGAGAAGCGGACAUGGCCGCUGCGCCGGAGAGGACUUUUCUCCGGCCACACAAAGCAGAAAUAAAAUGAUCUGUUGAAGUGAGAUCUGGGGACAUGCGGGAGAAACAGAUGCUGCCGGCGCGCUUUGGUGCGCAAAGCUCUCCAAACUCUGCGGCCAGAUUUGCGAAGCUGGGCGGCUGUUCCAGGGAAAUAAAGGUAUGAGGAGCAUCGGACCAACUCCACAGAUUCAGCCAAGAGAAGAACUUUAAAUGUGUUUCCUGUCAAACGUACUACAGGUGUCCCGUGAUUAUAUCUCAUUAAAACGAAUUUAUGCACUUUUGUCUUUUAAAAUGACUGAUCUAAGAGAAAUAAAUGCAAGUUUAAUCAAUGAC